UGAAUACGAGAUGCUACGGCGUCGAAGCAGUGUAUGUCAGACUUCCAAGAAAAGCUCGCAAUGUCAUAAAUAAAGAAUGCCUGUACCAUAACCGACACAGGUGGGUAGGUAGAGUAUACUAAGGGGCGCGAGAUAACUCUCUCUAAGGAACUCGGCAAAAUAACUCCGUAACUUCGGGAGAAGGAGUGCCUUCUUUAAGAAGGUUGCUAUAACAAGAUCCAAGCAACUGUUUAUCAAAAACACAGGUCUCCGCUAAGUCGUAAGACGAUGUAUGGGGGCUGACGCCUGCCCAGUGCCAGAAGGUUAAAGAAGUUGGUUAGCUUUUGCGAAGCUGAUGACUGAAGCCCUGGUGAACGGCGGCCGUAACAAUAACGGUCCUAAGGUAGCGAAAUUCCUUGUCGGGUAAGUUCCGACCCGCACGAAAGGCGUAAUGAUUUGGAUACUGUCUCGGAGAGGGACUCGGUGAAAUAGACUUGUCUGUGAAGAUGCGGACUACCUGCACCAGGACAGAAAGACCCUAUGAAGCUUUACUGUAACUUGAAAUUGAAAUUGGACUUUAUUUGCGCAGUAUAGGUGGAAGGCGUUGAAAGUAAUCUUGCGGGAUUAGUGGAGCCAUCAGUGAGAUACCACUCCUAUAAUGUUAGAUUUCUAACUUUGGAUCAUGAUCUGGUCAAAGAACAGUUUCAGGCGGGCAGUUUGACUGGGGCGGUCGCCUCCCAAAUGGUAACGGAGGCGUACAAAGGUUUCCUCUGAACGGGUAGAAAUCGUAUCUAGAGUGUAAAGGCAUAAGGAAGCUUGACUGUGAGACCUAUAAGUCGAGCAGGGACGAAAGUCGGUCUUAGUGAUCUGACGGUGCUGAGUGGAAAGGCCGUCACUCAACGGAUAAAAGUUACUCUAAGGAUAACAGGCUGAUCUCCCCCAAGAGUUCACAUCGACGGGGAGGUUUGGCACCUUGAUGUCGGCUCAUCGCAUCCUGGGGCGGUAGUACGUCCCAAGGGUUGGGCUGUUCGCCCAUGAAAGCGGUACGCGAGCUGGGUUCAGAACGUCGUGAGACAGUUCGGUCCAUAUCCGGUGUAGGCGUUAGAAUAUUGAGAGGAGCCUUCUUUAGUACGAGAGGACCGAGAAGGACAUACCUCUGGUGUACCAGUUAUCGUGCCAACGGUAAACGCUGGGUAGCUAUGUAUGGAGAGGAUAACCGCUGAAAGCAUCUAAGUGGGAAGCCCACCUCAAGAUGAGUAUUCUCA
rnacentral:rRNA from 1 species